UACGUAGGGUGCGAGCGUUAAUCGGAAUUACUGGGCGUAAAGCGUGCGCAGGCGGUUCGUUGUGUCGGUGGUGAAAGCCCCGGGCUUAACCUGGGAAUGGCCAUGGAAACUGGCGAACUGGAGUGUGGCAGAGGGGGUGGAAUUCCGCGUGUAGCAGUGAAAUGCGUAGAGAUGCGGAGGAACACCGAUGGCGAAGGCAGCCCCCUGGGCUAACACUGACGCUCAGGCACGAAAGCGUGGGGAGCAACAGG
rnacentral:rRNA from 1 species